GACGAACGCUGGCGGCGUGCUUAACACAUGCAAGUCGAACGGAAAGGCCCUGCUUGCAGGGUACUCGAGUGGCGAACGGGUGAGUAACACGUGGGAGAUCUGCCCUGCACUUCGGGAUAAGCCUGGGAAACUGGGUCUAAUACAGGAUAGGAGCCAUCCUUCGUGUGAUGGUUGGAAAGUUUUUUCGGUGUAGGAUGAGCUCGCGGCCUAUCAGCUUGUUGGUGGGGUAAUGGCCUACCAAGGCGGCGACGGGUAGCCGGCCUGAGAGGGUGGACGGCCACAAUUGGGCUGAGAUACGGCCCAGACUCCUACGGGAGGCAGCAGUGGGGAAUAUUGCACAAUGGGCGCAAGCCUGAUGCAGCGACGCCGCGUGGGGGAUGACGGCCUUCGGGUUGUAAACUCCUUUCGCUAGGGACGAAGCUUUUUGUGACGGUACCUAGAUAAGAAGCACCGGCUAACUACGUG
rnacentral:rRNA from 1 species